rnacentral:lncRNA from 1 species
GUUAAACAAGUGCUUGAAGGCAGUAUGCUUGGUAAAAGUCAUCGCCAUUCUCUAAUCUUGAGUACCCAGGGACACGAUACACUGCGGAAGGCUGCAGGGACCUCUGCCCAGGAAAGCCAGGCUUGCAUGAAGGAAAUGAUUUCCUAUGAUUCUGCUUACUGCUUAAAAAAAUUAAUCAAGUUUUCUGCCUGACAAGUGGUUUCCAAAAGGAAAAGCUUUGGGAGAUAGAAGUCCUCGUUUUGACCUCUGCCCUCCUUGUACACCAGGAGCCAGAAAAACUUCAUCUCUUUUACAAGAAACAUUGAGAUUCCUGUAAAAUUAAGAAAUCACACAAUUUGAUGGUCUACAUUAUCUAAAGCAAAUGAGACUUCUAUUUGGAACAAAGACUACCUUGUUGGGAAAUGAGUCUGCAAGUUAAAGUGUUUUCUGAUGAUGCAUAUCAUAAAUUAUUACUCACCCCAUGUUCCCACCCUCGAGAGACCUCCAAACAAUCACCAUGCCACAGUGAACAUUCAGUAACAAAAAUUCAGCCAGGGUUUUCACCAGCAUGAAUGGCAGUGAUUCCAAUCAGGAAAACAGAAAGAGGAGAGUUCAGAGCCACCUAGAAUGGCUCUUGCAAGAUACGAAAUCAAGGCAGCAGCAACAGGGCUGAACAUUCCUCAUCCCUAACUCUCCCUUCACCAGUAGGAAACCCAGGAUAACUGCAAUCACCGCAGGCCCAUCUGGCCUGAAGUUCUACUACUAGUAGCCCUCCAUGGGACCUUCUUAAGGAAGCAUGUCAACUCAGGUAAGGGAUGUAAGGGGAUGGAUGACCCUUUGAGGCCAAAGUUGGAGCAAAAAACACCAGAUGUUCCUGUGCACUGCUCCUAAGAGAUGGUUCUGAAGACCAGUUCGGGGAGAGGUCAAAAUACUGGACAGAAUCUCAGCAACAUGGAACCUCAAACUAAGUGACAGUCACAGACAACUCUUCCCCAAAGAAAAUAAGCACAGACAUGGUUUGUGGUAAGCAGAAUUAUAAAGAUGAAUUCCCAUCUCCCUGUCAGAUUACCAGUAUGGUAAAUUACCAGAUUACCUGGUUAUUUAUUCAAACACUAAUACAGUUAUUGCCUUGAUGGAAACAUACAGAUACAAUUAAAAUCCCAAGUACCAAAUAAAUUGACCUUAAGACAAAGACUAAGUAAAUCACAUGAGCCCUCUACAAGCAGAGAGUUUUUCUCCAGCUGGUAGCAGAAGCCAGAGAUUUGAAGCAUAGGAAGUAUUCAACACAUUAUUGCUGGCCUGAAAAUGGAAGGGGCCACAUAACGAGGGAAACCGGUGGCCUCUAGAAGCAGGGAGCAGUCCCCUGCUGACAGACAGCAAGCCAAGACCUCAGUUCUACAAUUGCAAGACACUCAAUUCUGCUAAGGACAAAAAUGAGCUUGGAAGUGAACUCUGAGCUUCAGGUGAGAACACGGCCAAACAACACCUUGAUUUCAGCUUAAACAAAGAAUGCAGCCACUCCAUGCCAGAAUUCUGACCUGUAGAAAUUUGAGCUAAUAAAUAGAUGUUUUAAUAGCUUCAUCGAUACAUACUUCACUUACUGUAAAAUUCAUUAUUUUAAAGUGUACAAUUCAGUGGUUUUCAGUAUAUCCACAAAAUGCAACCAUCACCACUAUCUGAUUUCAGGAUUUCUUUUUCUUUUCUUUUUUUUUUAAUCCCAUAAAGAAAAUCCAAACCAA